GCUCCCAUCGUCUAGCGGCCUAGGACAGUGGAUUCUCAGUCCACGAACUGGGGUUCAAAUCCCCAUGGGAGUA
rnacentral:tRNA from 1 species